CGCCGGUGAAGCUUUUGCUUGCC
rnacentral:siRNA from 1 species